rnacentral:rRNA from 1 species
CACGUAGGGCGCAAGCGUUGUCCGGAAUUAUUGGGCGUAAAGAGCUCGGUAGGCGGUCUGUUGCGUCCGCUGUGAAAACCCGGGGCUUAACCCUGGGCUGGCAGUGGAUACGGACAGACUAGAGGUAGGUAGGGGAGAAUGGAAUUCUCGGUGUAGCGGUGAAAUGCGUAGAUAUCGAGAGGAACACCUGCGGCGAAGGCGGGUGCUGGGCUGACACUGACGCUGAUGCGCGAAAGCCAGGGGAGCGAACGGG